AGAGUUUGAUCCUGGCUCAGGAUGAACGCUAGCGAUAGGCCUAACACAUGCAAGUCGAGGGGCAGCACAUGAGUAGCAAUACGAUGGUGGCGACCGGCGCACGGGUGAGUAACACGUAUGCAACCUACCUUUAACAAGGUGAUACCCCGUUGAAAGGCGGACUAAUAACCUAUAAAACAGGGCUCCCGCAUGGGAAUAUUUGUUAAAGAUUUAUCGGUUAAAGAUGGGCAUGCGUUCCAUUAGAUAGUUGGUGAGGUAACGGCUCACCAAGUCAACGAUGGAUAGGGGAACUGAGAGGUUUAUCCCCCACAUUGGAACUGAGACACGGUCCAAACUCCUACGGGAGGCAGCAGUGAGGAAUAUUGGUCAAUGGAGGCAACUCUGAACCAGCCAAGUCGCGUGAAGGAAGACUGCCCUAAGGGUUGUAAACUUCUUUUGUAAGGGAAUAAAGUGUAGUACGUGUACUAUUUUGCAUGUACCUUACGAAUAAGGAUCGGCUAACUCCGUGCCAGCAGCCGCGGUAAUACGGAGGAUCCGAGUGUUAUCCGGAUUUAUUGGGUUUAAAGGGUGCGCAGGCGGAAGAUUAAGUCGGCGGUGAAAUUUUGCAGCUCAACUGUAAAAGUGCCUUCGAAACUGGUUUUCUUGAGUGUAGAUGAAGUAGGCGGAAUUUGUGGUGUAGCGGUGAAAUGCUUAGAUAUCACAAAGAACUCCGAUUGCGCAGGCAGCUUACUAAACUACAACUGACGCUCAGGCACGAAGGCGUGGGUAUCGAACAGGAUUAGAUACCCUGGUAGUCCACGCAGUAAACGAUGAUUACUCGCUGUUUGCGAUAUACAGUAAGCGGCCAAGCGAAAGCGUUAAGUAAUCCACCUGGGGAGUACGUUCGCAAGAAUGAAACUCAAAGGAAUUGACGGGGGCCCGCACAAGCGGAGGAACAUGUGGUUUAAUUCGAUGAUACGCGAGGAACCUUACCCGGGCUUGAAAUGUAUCUGACCGGCACAGAGACGUGCCUUCCCUUCGGGGCAGAUAUGUAGGUGCUGCAUGGUUGUCGUCAGCUCGUGCCGUGAGGUGUCGGCUUAAGUGCCAUAACGAGCGCAACCCUCAUCAUUAGUUACCAUCAGGUUAAGCUGGGGACUCUAAUGAGACUGCCGGUGAUAAAUCGGAGGAAGGUGGGGACGACGUCAAAUCAUCAUGCCCCUUAUGUCCUGGGCUACACACGUACUACAAUGGCGAUUACAGUGGGAAGCAAGAUCGCAAGGUGGAGCAAAUCCCCAAAAAUCGCCCCAGUUCAGAUUGCAGGCUGCAACUCGCCUGCAUGAAGUCGGAAUUGCUAGUAAUGGCAGGUCAGCAUACUGCCGUGAAUACGUUCCCGGGCCUUGUACACACCGCCCGUCACACCAUGAGAGCUGACAACACCCGAAGUCGGUAGUUUAACCGUAAGGAGGACGCCGCCGAAGGUGGGGUUGGUGAUUGGGGUGAAGUCGUAACAAGGUAACCGUA
rnacentral:rRNA from 1 species